GUCUUACGGAACUGCCACGGGCUCUGUGAGAUGACAUCACAGCUCAGCAGAAUUCUGAGAGCACUGACACAGAGCUGACUUGCUUUUGCUGCAGUGAAAUGCUGCUCCUUGUCACAUAGGAUGAUGUUAAAUGAGUUCUGGAGGGGAAAAAAAAGGUUACUUUUAUCCUUUUGCUGCCUUUUCUCUCUUACUCUGGCCAGGGUAGCUGUCACCUCUGAUACAGCAACUGCACCAACCUCCUCAUGUUGCCACAAUACACUGGUGGUGGUUCUCCCAUUCCAGGCUUUCUGGUAUGGAAACUACUUCUGAAAUACCUAGAGAUAGCCUGCCUGCAGCUGGACUCAGAGUUCCUGGGAAGUGCUAUUUUAUUUACAACAUUUCUGCUUACACAAUCCAGUACUGAAUGCCAGAGACAGCAGUGCCAGGCCUGGUUAAUUGUAAACACCCCAAACUUCAUCUAUUUCCAAAGCCUUUGUUCUGGUGGAGAGGGAGCAUUAACAAGAAGGCACUGCAAGCUCACAGUGCAAUUUAGCAGCAAUUGAUAGAGGAAAAGACAUUAUCAGGAGACCGAAGGCAAGCAGAAGCAGCUCCACGGCCACACAACCAUGUAAUAAAGCUUUUUUUCCCCGCCUUGGUCUACAUACAUGUACAAAGAUUACUGUUCAUAAUAACUUGUCCAAACCCCUCAAAAAUAACAGCUG